rnacentral:lncRNA from 1 species
CCCUGACAAGAGGCUGGGGAGAUGGGGGGGNNNNNNNNNNNNNNNNNNNNNNNNNNNNNNNNNNNNNNNNNNNNNNNNNNNNNNNNNNNCCUCUCAUUAAAACGGAUUAAUUUAUUAUUUUUUGGGCGUUGCUUUGUCCCUCGGGAAGAGCCGGUGGCCGUGACCCCCCCUCCCCAAGCGCCCCCCCCUGAGUUACAGCCGCGCCGCCCCCGGCACGGCACCGAAACACUUAAAAAAACCCAAAAAACACCCCUAAAAAAACCCCAAAACCCCCACUGCGGCCGGGAUGGGGGGAAGGAUUCCCCAAAACCUCCAUCCCAGUUGGGUUUGGGGAAUGGGGGGAUCCCCCAAAACCUUCGUUCCAGUUUGGGGAAUGGGGGGAUCCCCCAAAACCUCCAUCCCAGUUGGGUGCAGGGGAUGGAGGGUUGGAGGGGAUUCCCCAAAACCUCCGUUCCAGUUGGGUUUGGGGAAUGGGGGGAUCCCCCAAAACCUCCAUCCCAGUUGGGUUCAGGGGAUGGAGGGUGGCAGGGGAUCCCCCAAAACCUCCAUCCCAGUUGGGUUCAGGGGAUGGAGGGGAUCCCCAAAACCUCCAUCGGAGUUGGGGUCAGGGGAUGGAGGGUUGGAGGGGAUCCCCCGAAACCUCCAUCCCAGUUGGUUUGGGGAAUGGGGGGGAUCCCCCAAAACCUUCGUUCCAGUUUGGGGAAUGGGGGGAUCCCCCAAAAUCUCCAUCCCAGUUGGGUUGGAGGGGAUCCCCCAAAACCUCUGUUCCAGUUGGGUUUGGGAGAUGGGGAUCCCCCAAAACCUUUGUUCCAGUUAGGUUCAGUGGGAUGGAGGGUUGGAGGGGAUCCCCCAAAACCUCCAUCCCAGUUGGGUUUGGGAGAUGGGGAUCCCCCAAAACUUUUGUUCCAGUUUGGGGAAUGGAGGGAUCCCCCAAAACCUCCAUCCCAGUUGCGUUUGGGUGAUGGGGGAGAGGAUUCUCCAAAACCUCUAUCCCAGUUGCAUUUGGGAGAUGGGGAUCCCCCAAAACCUCCAUCCCAGUUGGGUUUGGGAGAUGGAGGGUUGGAGGGGAUCCCCCAAAACCUCCAUCCCAGUUGCGUUUGGGAGAUAGAGGGUUGGAGGGGAUCCCCAGAAACCUCCAUCCCAGUUGGUUUGGGGAAUAGGGGGGUCCCCUGAAACCUCCAUCCCAGUUGCAUUUGGGAGAUGGGGAUCCCCAAAACCUCCAUCCCAGUUGCAUUUGGGAGAUGAGGAUCCCCCAAAACCUCUGUUCCAGUUGGGUUUGGGGGAUAAAGGGGGACCCCUUCCCAGUUCAGGGCUGGGUGAGCUGGAUGCCGAAGACGUCGGGGUGGCGGUGCCGGUGGAGACAGGUGGCUUCGGAAGACCCUUCGGCGUCGCGCACGUUGUACUCCCCCUUCUUACACGCCGUGGUCUUCAGGUAGUAACCCCCGGCGGCCACCAAACCCACUGCUGUCACGGCCCCCAAGGAGCCCAAUGAGGCCACCAGGGCCAACCGACUCUCUGUGGGGCCAGAAGGUGCUGGUGACACCAUGGUGGUGGCCACGGCCCCCAAGGAGCCCAACGAGGCCACCAGGGUCAACCUAGACUAUAUUGGGCCAGAAGGUGCCGGUGACACCACGGUGGUGGCCACGGCCCUGAAGGAGCCCAACGAGGCCACCAGGGCCAACCCACUCUCUGUUGGGCCAGAAGGUGCCGGUGACACCACGGUGGUGGCCACGGCCCCCAAGGAGCCCAGCGAGGCCACCAGGGCCAACCCACUCUCUGUUGGGCCAGAAGGUGCCGGUGACACCACGGUGGUGGCCACGGCCCCCAAGGAGCCCAACGAGGCCACCAGGGCCAGAAGGUGCCGGUGACACCACAGUGGUGGCCACGGCCCCCAAGGAGCCCAACGAGGCCACCAGGGCCAACCGACUCUCUGUGGGGCCAGAAGGUGCCGGUGACACCACGGUGGUGGCCACGGCCCCCAAGGAGCCCAACGAGGCCACCAGGGCCAGAAGGUGCCGGUGCCACCACAGUGGUGGCCACGGCCCCCAAGGAGCCCAACGAGGCCACCAGGCCCAACCGACUCUCUUUUGGGCCAGAAGGUGCUGGUGACACCACGGUGGUGGCCACGACCGCCCCCCAACUUCAUUUUACCACCAACCCCCCCAUCCCCUCC